UACGCUAACCAAUGUUGUUGCUUGAAGUUUAGGCAAGUGCCAAAUUACUCUUGAAUGGUAAUAUGUUUAAUUAUAAGGUGCAUUGGAAUGGUAAGUGCUUAGAUGAAAAUAUAAUUGAGCUUAUGAAAGAGUGGAAAGGUUUCAAUUAUUUAAUUUCUUAUAAAAAGAUUUGUUAUGUGAUACGCCCGUAUGAAUCCUGCACCUAAUUCGGAAAUAAUUUUUUUUUUAAAUUUAUAUAUAUAUAUUUAGAAUUUUGUGAAAAAUUUACUAUGAUUUCGAUUUAAUCCUAGUAAGUUCCUAAUAAAUGUGUAAUAGGCCAUUUUAGCCCGGGCCUAAAUACAUAAACCUUAAAAUAAAAAUACAAUAAAUUACAGACCCAGUUUUAAACCCAAUAACACCCCGACCCAAUAACCGAAUUAUAAGCCCAUUUUUUUGACCCAAUUACAGAGUGACCCAAACAAAACAAAAUCAGAAACCCUAGCAGUUAGCAAGCCGGCGCCGCAACUACCCACGUUCUUCCCUCGCAACAACGCCCCACGUCGUAGCAACUCUCACACAUGCACGUACCUGCAACAAAGAAGCGACGAACAACACUAAUAGGAUAUACAUACAACAAAUUGUAAAGGAGGGGGGGCUGGAGAAAGACCAAUUUUUAUUUUUAUUUUUUUUUGUAAAGGGGUUUAGACAAAAUUUGGUAUUGAAAAACAGAAAAGAAAAUACAAAGGAAGGUGACAGAAAAGCAAAAGAUUUUAAAGGUGAAGGAUUCUUGAUUUUCUUCUUUUGUUCUUGUUACUGUUGGCAUUACAUUUUUGUUUUUCUUUUCUUUUUUUAAAAUAUUAAAUAAGCAAAAGGGACAAAGGGGGAAAGGUUCUUACCGGUGGUAGUGCGCUGUCGGGGUGCCGUCGUCGUCGUGGCCGGUUGGGAGCGGAUUUGGAGCGGAAGAGAGAAGGGGAUAACGGCGCAACUUCAAAUGGCAGAAGGGAAAUGAUUUUAGGGUUUUAAAAUGGAAUUUUUAUAGGGUUCAAAAUGGGACAUUUGCGCGAUUGGUCCCUUGCUUUUCUUUUACAAUGCUUUUAAAUUAAAUUAUUUAUCUCUUCUAAAUUUCACCACAUAUUUUAUAACUGUUUCAAAUUGGUCCAAUAUUGCGCAAUGCUUUGGGUGGUUUUGGUAAAUUGUUUUUUUGGUCCUCCCCCUGGUUGCGCGUGUUUAAAUUACUCCCUUUCUUAUUUUUAUUUUUCAAAUUCAGCUCUCAAAUUCCGUUUGGUUUUGAAACUUAAUCUUUAAUUUGUUUUUUUUAGUUAUUUAUUUAUUUAUUUAUUAUUAUAUUGUUUAUAUUGUUUAUUAGUAUAAUUAUUACUAUAUUAUUAUUGUACGUAUAUAUGUGCGCAUAUAUAUAUGUUAAUAUAUAUAUGUAUAUUCUAAAUGUUUUAAAUGCAUAUAUGUAGUACGUAUAUAUUUUAUUAUCAUAUCAUUUUAUUUUUAUAGUUUAUAUAUAUUUUAUAUACAUUCAUAUUUUUUAUGAUAUUUAUAUUUUCAUGUUUUAUAAUUCAUAUGUUUAUACAUUUUUAUAACGUGUACAUAUAUUUUUGCAUUCCUUUCAAGGCUAUUAUAAAUAUUUUCCAUGUUUUUAUAUUUACUAAUACAUUAUACUUAUACAUUUUUAAAAAAAUGAAUUAAUAUAUUUUAUAUGUAUUUUAUCAUUGUUUUUUAUGACUUACAUUUUUUCUCUCAUAUCCAUAUACAUAUUUGCUAAAAUUGUUUAUAUAUCAUACUUAUGUAUACACAUAAUUUAAAUUAAAAUAUUUGUUUCCUAUUGCAUUGACAUUUUAACACAUUUUUCAAAUACAUUUUGAUUUUGUCAAAACAUUAAAAUCGUUUUUUAUGAUUCAAAGGUUUUUAAAAUAAAAACGAUAUUCAAAGUUAGGGAUUUUCGAGGAAAAUUGAGCCCUAACGUAUUGGAUUCCGAUUUUCUUUGUUAAUUUCAAAUAACCGAGAAUAUUCGUUAUUUAAAAUAUAUAAGAAAAAUCAUUUUUGGGAACUUAAUUUGUUAUGUCCUAACGUAUUGGGCAUGACAUAAUUGCUUCCUCGAAAUGAAGAUUUACUUAUAAAGCAAAAGUGAUAUUCAAAAUUCGGGGAUUUUGAGAAAUUGUACCCUAACGUAUUGGGUCUCAAUUUAUUUGCAUGACUUGAACAAUUGAUUAUCCUUUUCAAGUUUCAUCAUUUGAAUUUUAAAAAUCUUUUUAACCCUCGACAUUAAGACAUCAAAUAAUCAAUUUGGUACCGAUUUUUGGGCGUUACGAGGGUGCUAACCCUUCCUAGUGCGUAACUGACUCCCGAACCCAUUUUCUCAAAUUUCGUAGACCAAAAUCGUUUUUAAGGUGAGUCGAUCACACCUCAAUAAAGGAUCGGUGACGACUCCAGUUUUUUUUUUUAAAGUCGACAACUAAAUUUUUGUUUUAUCAAAAAAUGGUUUCGACAGCUUGGCGACUCCACUGGGGACCUUCGAGAGUCGAGCCAUAAAUUGAUUAUUUGGUGUCUUUUUGUCGAAAAUUAAAGUUUUUUUUAAUCAUAAUUUCCCUUUGCAUUCAUUGAUUUUCAUUGUUUGCUUGUUUGGCUUAAGUCUGUUAUCUUAUUUGCAUUUUGCAUCUCAUAACGUCGGUCAUUUUUACCCCUUUAGGUGGGAGUGAGAAGCUAGUCCUUCGUGAGGUUUUCACCUCCAUAUAGGAUAGUGGAUCACUUUUGGGAUACAUCCGUACCUAUGCCUCCAUGAGACCUACGUCUCCGCAUAGUCAUAGGGAAAUGUAUUCCCCUGAAUCGAACUUGGUCUAUAUGAGCCUAUAAUGGGUGAGGAUCGAGGAAUCUGCUGGUUCGGGUACCCUUGCCCUAGAAACCAAACCACAUAUAGUGAACCAUAGGAACUCACCUAGGUAGAAUUACUCUUAACCUUAGUUGAUACCUAAUUAGGAGUUUUUACUAUUUCUUGGUUGUAUUAUAUUUAAUUGUUACUGACUUUUCUUUUGUUUUAUGUUUUACUCUGAUUGUAUGGCAUUGCCAUCACAUGGCAUUUCAUUUUAAAAGGCAUUUCAUUUUAAAAGCGAUAGUGGCUACACCGAGGAGGGAUGACAUCUCGGAAGAGAAAUUGAUGGCUAUUUUUUAGAAUUUGCAUGAGGAGGAUAUCGAGUGGAGAGCUCCAUGGUUGCUUCCAGACGAGAUCCUAUAUCGACGUGGGGAUUUUGAUUGGGUUCCUUUGAUUGGGAUUUGGGGAGCCAUUGGUUAUGCCCCAUUGCUAGCGUUAAGGCAAUACAGGUCAAGGCAGUUUGUGCCUGCAACUCAGGGAUUAGCCAAGUGUGAAUUCUCGUGUAAGGGUGAUGGGUACAAAAAGAGAAUUCAUGAAAUGGUCAAUGCAUGGAGUCAGACUCACCGAAUGAAGAGGUUGGCUGUGGGUCCGAUGACAACUCCCGAGUAUAGUGAAUGGUGGGUCAUGAGGAAUAAUGAUAACAUUCCUGGGCCAGGUUCAGAAAAUAGUCAGUCGAUAGAGGAGUAUUUGCGUGUUGUCCCUACUGAGCUGGAAAUCAUAAAGCAGGACUUUGAAAAGAAAAAUGUAGAAUUAGAGAAGAAAAUAGAGCAAAUGGAGGAGGAAAAAGUGGGUUUGAGACUGGAUAUAGAUGUUCAAAAGCUCGAGGCUAAUAAAUUAAGGAAGGGGAAGAAUAAGGCCAAGGAGGAGCUAGAUAGCUUGAAGAUAAAUUAUAAGAAGAUGCGUCUAUCAAUGAGAACUGCCGGGCUUGGAAAAACUUCAGAGCAGCGGUGUGAAGAGGUUCAAGAAGAAAGAAACGGGUCGGACUGGUGGGAAAGAAAAUUUCAAGAGGUACAAGCAAGGAACGAAGCAUUAGAAAAGAGCUUGUCGGAGGGCCAAAAGGAAAAAAACGAGCUAAAAGAUAGAGUGAUUGAGUUAGAAAGGGUCUCUUCGUCAGCACAGAAGUCGAAAUUCUGUAGUAGAGCUAAAGGCGAGUCUAAGCAAGAUUGAAGAGAUGAAGAAUAGAAUAGAAGAGUUAGAAGUAGCAUUACGAAGUUGUGAGGUUCAGAUUGACCAUCUAGAGGCAAAGAAAGGUCGUCAAAAUGAGCAACUUCAUUAUUUCCAGAAUUAAGUCAGAAAUAGGGAUCGUGUUAUGGGAGAAGUUGUGGUUCAGGUUCGAGAAGUGGCAGAUCACCUACAAACUUUGGCAGUAUAGGCCGACGCGUUGAGUGUGAAGUAUGAAUUGGAGUCAGACCGGGGACAAGAGUUGGCCUCGUUGCUUAAAAAGAUCAAGGUUUUAAGUAUUAGGGCAAAGCCAUAUUUGUAGCCCAUUCUAUGUAAAGAGAUUUAUUUUCUAAUAAAGUUUUCUGAAAGUAAUUGAAAUUAGAAUCAACGUCUCUUUAUGCAUUCAUUUCAUGCAUUCACAUUACAUGACAUCAUAUGCAUUAAAAUUCAUUGAAAGAGCCUAAUUGAGUAAAAUUAUUUCAGUUAAAUUGGAAAACCAACACCCUCACAGCACUCAAACAAAGACUAGAGAAAUGGACCAAAGGUUGGAGAAAUUAGAGCAAAUGCAAGUGCGGAUGCAGGAGAAAUUGACCAAAUUUCAGCAAGAUAUGAAGAAUCAGUUGUUAGAAUUCCAAAGAAAUAUAAUGUGCCAGUUAGCCCAGUUAUUGGCUAGAGGGUUAGAAAGAGGAAAGACCCCAGCGGUCCACUUUGGGGAUAAUAAUGAGGACUCUAUAUAUCCUUCAGGCUUCACCCUAACAAAUACCCAAGGACAACCAAAUGCAUAUCCACAAAGGGUAAUUGUUAACAUCCGACCCCAAUAUCAGACCAACACCUCGACACCAGUGAAUUUCCAGAUUGGCUCAGGUUCCAACUCGAUAGGCAAUUCAACUAAUCCUGUUGUCAUUGAUGAUCAAGUAGGAACAGAACAGGCGAGGGUGGAGUUCCUAAAACAGUUUGAAGAUCGUUACAAACGGAAGGGGCGAGAGUGGAACUCUCAAAUCAAUACUUUAAAGGCUCCAAGGAAGAAGGGGAAUAAGAGGGAUAAUGUAGGUAGAUAUAAAAAGGGUCACUCAAAACCAAUCACUGUGGGCCGACCAAAGAUAGAAAUCACUAGCCAUCAGAGCCAUUUAAAGCGAGAAUCUUACACGAAGACAAAUACAGAAGGGCUUCAGUUCACGCCUAUACCGAUGUCAUAUAGCAAGCUGUAUCAAAGCCUAUUUAAUGCACAUGUGGUGUCCCCCUUCUAUUUGAAACCAAUGUUGCCCCCAUUUCCUAAAUGGUAUAAUGCAAAUGCUCAGUGUGAAUACCAUGCAGGAAUUGCGGGGCAUUCGAUAAAAAAUUACACCGCUUUUAAGAAAUUGGUUGAAAGGCUCAUCAAUAUGGACAUUGUCAGAUUUGAAGAUUCAUCGAGUGCAGAAAAUUCGCUACCCAAUCACAUUUGAUAAUGAGGUUAAUGUGAUGUAUGAAGAAGUUUUGAGAGGUGUUCACAUCAAUACCAUAUUUGAAGACAAUUGAAAAGGGACCUUAUUAGAUAUCCACCCUUAUAAACUUGGGAGUGUCCUAAAUAAUCGGAUUGGAGAGGAAUUCUCCGUAGUAUCUAGAGCUUACUUAGAGUAAUGUUCGAAACAUACUUGUUGCUUUUAGCCUAGAGGCAAUAAGAAUUCCUUUGUGAAAUAGGCUCAUGUCUGAUUGUCGCUAUUUUAAUGAAAUGCAUCCUUGCGAUUAUUUUUUCUUUCAGUCUUUUGAAUAAUUAUUCUUUCAUUAUUUUAGAUUUUCUUCCACACCAUUCAUUUAUUCAUAAUCAUAUUGUACAAAUAGUUCUUCAUAAAUUUAUACAUUCUUUUGUAUUUUUUUGGUAUUUAUUAUGGGUCCCAGAUAUCAAUGACGUGAGUGACGCUGCUACAGACUCAGAAUCUCCUUUUGAGCAAGAUAUGUGUUUAGGGAGAUCUCAUGACUUUGAAGAUGACGUAGAUCAUGGCCUAUCUCCGGACUUAUUGAGGAUGGUAGAACGGGAAGAGAAACAAAUUCUACCUCAUGAGGAGACAAUGAAGAUUGAAACUUUGAGGGAACAUGCAUAACCGGAGAAACAAAGCAAUACCUUGUUGAGUUACCUUAAGGGUUCAAAGAUGUCAUCGCAUGGUCAUACCAGGACAUGCCCUGGUUAAAUAUUGAUAUUGUAAUCUGAGCAACAGCACGACGUCAAAAAUUUGUAGUAUGCUCAAGAUUAACAUCAUGAACGAUGCGGUUAGAAUUCUUUGCCGGGGCAAAACCUUCUUCUCUGGUUUAUCAUAAUUUUGCCCAUUGAAGUCAAGUUGUCAUUUCUCCGUAUUUUUGUUGGAUUUCAUCCUAAUUUAAGAGGAAGAUCCAAAGUUUUUUCUUCAUAGAUAAAAUUUCACCCCAAAACCAAAGAAGAUCUUUCGGAUACAAAAUGAAAGCGGAAGAUCUUAUGGGGAAGAUCUUAUCUAGAAUAACAUUGAUUCUGAUCGAAAGGGAUGACUAGGACUUGCCUAAUCCUAUGAGUGCAGAUUCAAAAAAAAACAACAAAAAAAACCCCCGCUGGGGCAAUGCCUUUCUCUUUAGCUUAUCACGGUUUUUCCAUUAAAGUUAAAAUUCUUUUUCUCUGGGUAUUGGCUGAGCUGAAGUACGAUGAAGAUUCAAUCUCGAUACGAUCAGUUAAACUUAAUUGAAGGAAAAAGGUUAAAAGCUAUUCGUCACGGUCAGAUGUACCAAAAACGGAUAGUGCAAGCUUACAACAAAAAGGUUCGUCCUAGAGAAUUCCAUGAGGGAGACCUGGUAUUGAAAAAGAUCAUUCCUCUACAAAAAUAUUUUAGAGAAAAAUGAGUGCCAAAUUGAGAAUGUCCUUAUGUCGUAAAGAAGACAUUUUCCGGAGGAGCACUGAUCUUGAGUGAGAUGGAUAGUAAAAACUUGUCUAAUCUUGUAAACUCAGAUUCAGUCAAGAAAUGUUUCACUUAAAGAAUGAGAGGACCAAGGUAAAAGCCCACAAAUAGCACUUUGAGUCGCAAAAAAAAAGAGAUGAGAUGUGAAAAAAAAUGAAAAUGAAAAAUGAAAAAUGGAAAAAGUAAAAGUGGAGAGGCUAAGGUGAAAACUCACAAAGGGCGCCUUAGACCAAAGGGGAUUUGAGUUGAAAACCCGAAAAAGGCAGCUCAAAUAUUGAUCAAAAUGGGGCAUGAAGUAAUAAGAGUAGCUCAUAUUUUGAUCAGAUUGGGGCAUGUGGUGAUCUUGCUGUGCCUAAAUCAGCAGGAAAGGGUACGCGACAUCUUGGAGCAUCGACAGAGUAUUGUAGAUAUCCUAAGCACAUGUCAAACUCAGAAUGGUAUUCAGGAAGUUUGUACAGAGAAGUUCAAGCUGCGAUAUCUAGGGCACCUAGUUUUCAUACUAUUUUUAUCGAAUUGUUUGUUCUUGGAAUACUUCAUUCUUUUUCAAGAUACGUGUUCCCAAUCCAUUCUUCUUUUAUUUUUACUAUCCUUGAUAUUCUAUUCAUUUCGAGCUAUGUUCUUAAAUCAAUUCUAUUUUAUCUAUCGUUUUGUUCUUUUUGCAAGUAUGUUGCAUUAGAAUAAUGAUUAAGGACCAAUAAAACUUUCACAAGGGAAGUUUUGCAUAUUACUCUAGAAAUUUCUAAAUAAUAUGAGAACCUGAAACAGGAUUAUUGUUUAAAACACACUAGGUUUAAAAGUUGGAAAUCUGAUAAGGAAUGGUCUAAAUUAAGACUUUCUCUUUCGAUUUUGUUGUCAAAAACAUUGAUGGAACAAAAUGACAAUAUGUCAGGUUGGUGACGAGGCUUAAAUAAACAAGCAAGUAAUAAUUACCAAACAAUAGAAAGGGGUUUGCUUGGAGAAGAGAAUCAUUCAUUUGUGCAUAGGCAUUUGGGUAUGACACCCUGAGAAUGGUAUAAAGGAUCAAAGUGCUUCAUAUUUGCGAUAAGAGAAGAUUGAGAGGCCAGAUUAUUUCUACCCUUGGGUUACAGUAGGAGAAAGAUGGUACAAAUUUUGCGUCUCAGUAGUUUGAACUUUGAAGUUUACAGUGGGGGCAAUCUGAUCAAGUGUUUCUUUGGAGAGGCUAACCAAGCAAGAAGGCGUUGUGGCGCGUCAGUGGUAAAAUCUUAAUAAACUUUGAGUAAUGACAACCUAAGUGGGAUCAUUCUCGGGAAAAGUCCACAUUCAUUCAAAUGUCAUUCAUGCAUGUCUAGUUAGGAGCAUUUGAUUCUUUCUGAUCAUGACAUCCUAAUCAUAGGCAUAAUUAGGCUCAUAAUUUGAAUUAUACAGGUCGUGUUCCCUAGAGAACAAACCGGUAAAACUUCAGCCUUAUCUUCCUGAACAGCAGUGGAGUAGGUUGAAAAUAGCAGAUUUUUAUUUCCCCGACAUUGCAAUUAAAAAGAUUGAAGCCACAACGGCGGAUCUUAUUUCCCUAGCGGUGUAGUGGAGCAGAUUGAAGCUACGACGGCGAAUCUGGUUUCCCCGACAUUGCAAUUAAAAGAUUGAAGCCACAACGACGGAUCUUAUUUCCCUGGCAGUGUAGUGGAGCAGAUUGAAGCUACGACGGCGGAUCUGGUUUCCCCGACAUUGCAAUUAAAAAGAUUGAAGCCACAACGGCAGAUCUUAUUUCCCUGGUGGUGCAGUGGAGCAGAUUGAAGCUACGACGGUGGAUCUGAUUUCCCCGACAUUGCAAUUAAAAGAUUAAAGCCACAACGACGGAUCUUACUUCCCUGGCGGUGUAGUGGAAUAGAUUGAAGUCGUAACGGCAAAUCUUGUUUCCCCGACAUUGCAAUUAAAAAGAUUGAAGCCACAAUAGCAGAUCUUAUUUCUCUGGCGGUGCAGUGGAGUAGAUUGAAGCUACGACGACGGAUCUGGUUUCCCCGACAUUGCAAUUAAAAAGAUUAAAGCCACAACGGCGGAUCUUAUUUCUCUGGCGGUGCAGUAGAGUAGAUUGAAGUCACAACGGCGGAUCUGGUUUCCUCGACAGCGUAAUUAAAAAGAUUGAAGCCACAACGGCGGAUCUUACUUCCCUGGCGGUACAGUGGAGCAAAUUGAAGUCACAACGGCGGAUCUGGUUUCCUCGACAAUGCAAUUAAAAAGAUUGAAGCCACAACGGCGGAUCUUACUUCCGUGGCGGUGCAGUGAAGCAGAUCGAAGUCACAACGGCGGAUCUGGUUUCCCCGACAGCGCAAUUCAAAAGAUUGAAGCCACAACGGCGGAUCUUACCUCCUUAGCGGUGCAGUUGAACAGAUUGAAGCUACGACGGCGGAUCUUGUUUCCUCGACAUUGUAAUUGGAUAAAUUGAAGAAGAUAAUCCUAUCUCCCUGAAGUUGCAGUGGAGCGGAUUAACACCACAGAUCUUAUCUCUCUGAAAUUGCAGUAGAGCAGAUCGUAUCAGACUCAUCUUUGAAGUUGUAGCAGAAUAAGUUGAAGUUACGAGUCUUAUCUCCCUGAAGUUACGGUGGAGCAGACUAGAGAUAAGUUUUGUUCUUUUGAGAAGCUACCAGGUACAAGUCCUAUCUCCUUGAUGUUGCAAUGGAGUGGAUUGAAGCACCGAUUCCUAUACUUCUGCAGACGCAGUAGGUUGGAAUGACGCUACUUGAAGAGCGCUAAGGUCCAGUAUGCCCGGGCAAAAUUGGCCAUCUUAAAGUCUUUGCUCUAUUCCCGUUACACGACAACGAGCAAAAAGGGGCAGUUGUAAUAGGCCAUUUUAGCUCGGGCCCAAAUACAUAAACCUUAAAAUAAAAAUACAAUAAAUUACAGACCCAGUUAUAAACCCAAUAACACCCCGAACCAAUAACCGAAUUAUAAGCCCAUUUUUUUGACCCAAUUACAGAGUGGCCCAAACAAAACAAAAUCAGAAACCCUAGCAGUUAGCAAGCCGGCGCCGCAACUGCCCACGUUCUUCCCUCGCAACAACGCCCCAC
rnacentral:lncRNA from 1 species